AUACCUUUCUCGGCCUUUUGGCUAAGAUCAAGUGUAGUAUCUGUUCUUAUCAGUUUAAUAUCUGAUAUGUGAGCCAUCGGCCCAAUCGAUAUUAAUCUUAUUUUUUAUGGGGAAAGACCCGUCACAAUAGCUUGCUAUUGGGGUCUUUAAGCGUCGCCUUGGUGUUGCACUACUGCCUUGGCCUGGCGCACCCCUC
rnacentral:snRNA from 2 species